rnacentral:lncRNA from 10 species
GAAAGUCUUUUCUGUAUCUGCUGAGAUGCUCAUGUGGGAUUUUGUUAAACAACCUGCUACUGAAUGAGAUUCUGAUUUCUUAUAAGGUGCUAUUACCUGAGACCAGAACAUAUACUGAGUGUCACAAAUGAAUUUGGAAAUUCGGCAGCAUAUCCUUGGUAAUGGCAAUGCAUCUGAAAAACAGUAUAGAAAGGCAAGUAUAUAAAUUCGUUGUGAAUAAAAAAUGUAUUGUCAAACAUGUCAGAAGAUUCAAAAUAUUAAAAGAUUUAAUAAUAAGAUCAUUAAUUAUUAAUGCAUAUUUUCAGAAAAAAAAAGAUUUGUGACAAUUCUCUUUAUUUUGCACCACAGGCACAAGAGAGUCCCUGUGAGUAUUCGCUUGCAGCUGGGUUUCAUCUCUAUCACAUGCCAUUUCUAUGUACAAAAGUCAGUAACAUGUCAGUAAGGAUAAAACAUUUGUAUUAAACUGUCAACAUGAAACACAUUCUAAUGGUAAUAAUAUAACCACUUUAACAAAAAAAAUAAGGUAUCUUACUUUACCAUAAAAUAUGGAGACACAGAAUGCAAAGAUCCAGUUUCAUUAUAUGUAUAAACCAAAAAGUUCUGGGGUAAGAAUGAUCUAAAAAACCAAGA